UUCACCAACUUUUCUCUCUAACUUAGGCAUCGGAAGGUCCCCACCAGACACAAAUCCGAUCUGCAUGGAUGCUGUUUUGCAAGUGUUCUUUCCCGACGAUAGGCGACGGAGAGUUGGCUGCAACAGAUUAGCGCGCCAAGUGAGAGGAAAACAACUUGCAAUGACGAAAACUAGAGCUCAAUGGUCAACAGCAAUCGAAUCGGUGAGGCACUCUUCCCGCC
rnacentral:lncRNA from 1 species